AUGGGGGGGGAGGGGGGGAGGGGCAGGGGGGCGGUGGGGGGGGGGGGCAGGGCGGGGAGGAAGAGGAAGGAGACGGCGGCGGUGCGGAGGGGGGCGGGGGGCGCGGAGCCCCCCAACAUCUGCGUGGAGUGCGGGCAGAGCUUCGAGCGCAGCGCGGCGCUGGCCCGGCACCGCAGUGACCACCGGAGUGACCAACGGAGUGACCGCAGGAGUGACCGCAGCACUGACCACCGGAGUGACCAACGGAGUGACCACAGCACUGACCACAGCACUGACCACCGGAGUGACCACAGCACUGACCACAGCACUGACCACAGCACUGACCACAGCACUGACCACCGGAGUGACCACCGGAGUGACCACAGCACUGACCACAGCACUGACCACCGGAGUGACCAACGGAGUGACCACCGGAGUGACCAACGGAGUGACCGCAGCACUGACCACCGGAGUGACCAACGGAGUGACCACAGCACUGACCACCCGAGUGACCACAGCACUGACCACCGGAGUGACCACAGCACUGACCAACGGAGUGACCAACGGAGUGACCAACGGAGUGACCGCAGCACUGACCACCGGAGUGACCACCGGAGUGACCGCAGCACUGACCGCAGCACUGACCGCAGCACUGACCACAGCACUGACCGCCCGAGUGACCACCGGAGUGACCACAGUGACCAACAGAGUGACCACGGCACUGACCAUGGCUCUGGACACGGCACUGACCAAGGCAGCGGUCAGCCCGGCUGCUACGGACAGACGGACAUUGGUCACGGUCAGCAGGGCGGCUCAGGACACAGCAGUGACCACAGACUGAGCACUGACCACAGCUCUGGAAACAGGAGUGACCGUGGCAGCGGUCAGUGCAGCGGCUCCAGACAGCCAGACCAUGGCCGUGGUCAGCGGGCUUGUGGCCGUGGUCAGCGAGGCAGCUCUGGACAGAGGAAGCUCAGUGGAAAUGGCCAAAGAGGCAACAGCGGUCAGCGGGGCGGCUCCGGCCAGCUGGACAUCGAUGGGAAUGGCCGGAGGGUCAGCCAUGGCAGCGGUCAGCAGGACCAUGGCAGUGGUCAGCGGGAGCACAGCGAUGGUCAGUGGGGCGGCUCCGGCCAGCCGGACAUUGACAAUGAUGACCAACAGCCCACACCCAGCGGCGCCAGCGGCCUGGCAGAUGACCGCCCUGAUGACCGCCCAGAUGACCACCCCACAUCCCACCACCCCAGCACUGCCCCCUCCGCUGACCACUGCCCACUGACCUGUCCGGACUGCGGCCAAACCUUCUCCCAGAGCUCCCACCUGCAGCGUCACCGCCGCGGCCACACCGCGCUGACCACAGCCUGCGGUCACUCCCACACCGCGCUGACCGGAUACCUGCGGUCACUCCCACACCGCACUGACCGACACCUGCGGUCACUCUCCGGCCACGCCGCGGCCCCGCGCGCGCCUGGACGGCCGGAGGAGCCCCAAGGGGCAGCGCAGGGGCGGCCGAGCGCGGCCCAAAUCCGCUCUGGGCAUCCCCAACACGUGCGGGGAGUGCUGGCAGAGCUUCGGCCAGAGCUCGGACCUGGUCAAGCACCUGCGCAUCCACACGGGCGAGCGGCCGUACGCCUGCGGCCACUGCGGCAAGCGCUUCAACGUCAGCUCCAACCUGAGCCGGCACCGGCGCAUCCACACCGGCGAGCGCCCGUACGGCUGCGCCGACUGCGGCAAGAGCUUCACCGACCGCUCCACGCUGAGCCAGCACCGGCGCAGCCACACCGGCGAGCGCCCGUACGGCUGCGGGCUCUGCGGCAAGAGCUUCAGCCGCAGCUCGCACCACCGGCGCCACCAGCGCACCCACGCCAGGGACGCCGCCGCUGCGGCUGGGGCGGCGCCGCAGAUCUGGGGGUACCCGAGCCAGGCUUCUUGAGCAGCGUUCUGAUGGUUGGAGUAAGGAAAAAUUAAAGAAAAUCUGGAAUAAUGAGUGGGUUUUUUUGGUGUUUGGUGGUUGUAAUUGCAGUGUCUUGAUGCCAGCCCAAGUCCCAAUCCCAAGUCCCAAUCCCAGUCCCAGUCUUGGUCCCGGUCCCAUCAUCUUGAUCCCUGUCCAAGUCCCAGUCCUGAUCCUGGUCCCAGUCUUGGUCUCAGACCCAUCAUCUUGAUCCCAGCCCCAAUCCCAAUCCCAGCCCCAAUCCCAGCCCCAAUCCCAAUCCCAGCCCCAAUCCCAAUCCCAGCCCCAAUCCCAGUCCCAUUCUCACCAUCCCACCCCAGCACCCACGCCGGGAGCGCCGCUGGGGCUGGGGCGGCGCCGCAGAUCUGGGGGUACCCGAGCCAGGCUUCUUGAGUUGGAAAAAUUAAAGAAAAUUUGGAAUAAUUGGGGAUUUUUUUGAGUUUUUUUUGGUGUUUUUUGGGGUGGUAGGUUUGGGGUUUUGGGGGUUGGUUUGGGUUUUGGUCGCGGUUCCAGUGUCUUGAUCCCAGCCCCAAUCUUGGUACCAGACCCAUCAUCUUGAUCCCAAUCCCAGUUCUGAUCUUGGUCCCCAUCCCAGUCCUGAUCCCAGUCCCAUCCCAGUCCCAAAU
ensembl:lncRNA